ensembl:lncRNA DSCR9 Down syndrome critical region 9
GACUCCGGCUUUGACUGGGGACUCACUGGAGGCCACAUCGCUUUUGCUUCCAGUUUCCAAACUGCCACCACCUCGAAACUGCCAGACCUUUGAAAGCUGAGGCACAGUGCCUCACCCCUUCCUUCAGAAGACUGUCCAGCUCCCCCUCCUUCCCCUCCUCCCUCCCCCACUGGGGACCUCUCCUAGGGGAGGGGUCUGGUGUCCUCAGCUGGCUCCUCUCCACCUUCGCUUCUACCCGGGGGCUCCAGUGCAUCUGGCUUUAUCUCUGGGGUGCUUCCAUACAAAGGGGACAGAAGAGAUGAUGGAAGGCCUCAGUACUGCAGGAGGGGAGACGGAUGUCAUCUACAAUCACACAAUACAUGGGAGGUCACAGUUAACUGGUUAUUUCAACUUGGAGCCUUGAAAUCAUGUAGCGGUCUCGGGCCGGGUGCAGUGGCUCACUCCUCUAAUCUCAGCACUUUGGGAAGCCGAGGUCUACAACAUCCAGAGCAGCCACAUUGCAAGUGCUCAGUAGCCACAUGUGGCUGGCACAUGUGGCCCAUGGCAACUGUGCUGGACAUGGUGGGUCCAGACCUCACUUCAUUUUAUGUAUAAACACCAAGUAUCUUGUGAGCUUUACUGUACGUGAAUUUCUCAGGAAUGCUGUAACUGUGCACAUUGAGGUUUGAGGUUUGAUUGCCCUUUUGUUGUUUUUUUCUGAACGUUACUAAGGGUUGUUCAUAAUUUUGGAAGGUAGUAUUAU